rnacentral:rRNA from 1 species
GAUGAACGCUAGCGGCAGGCUUAACACAUGCAAGUCGAGGGGCAGCGCGGGAUAGCAAUAUCCUGGCGGCGACCGGCGGAAGGGUGCGUAACGCGUGAGCGACAUGCCCGUUGCCCGGGGACAACCGGUGGAAACGCCGACUAAUCCCCGAUGGGAUAUUGUGCCGCAUGGCACGAUAUUGAAAGUUACGGCGGCGACGGAUUGGCUCGCGUCCGAUUAGCUUGUUGGCGGGGUAACGGCCCACCAAGGCUGCGAUCGGUAGGGGUUCUGAGAGGAAGGCCCCCCACAAUGGGACUGAGACACGGCCCAUACUCCUACGGGAGGCAGCAGUGAGGAAUAUGGGUCAAUGGGCGGAAGCCUGAACCAGCCAUGCCGCGUGCGGGAAGGAGGCCCUAUGGGCUGUGAACCGCUUUUGCCUGGGGGCAAUAAGGGCGUCGCGCACGUCCGAUGAGAGUACCAGGCGAAUAAGCAUCGGCUAACUCCGUG